rnacentral:hammerhead_ribozyme from 1 species
ACCGGCUGAGGAGUCCCAAAUAGGACGAGACGCGCGUCCUGGAU